rnacentral:misc_RNA from 1 species
AAAAAACUGCAACAAGUAGCAGAGGAGAACUCUAAGUUAAGAGACUUCCUGGUGGACCGGGGUCACAUGGUGAAUGUUUUGCAAGGUGAAAUCACCCUCGUGUGUGAGGAGGUUCUGUCUCUUAAAGAUAGAGUAGAUGGUCCAGUGGCGCAGUCAGUGGCAUCAUCCAGUUCGUCAGUUCUGAAGUCCUUACCUUCAUUGGAUAGUGUUGAGCAACUUGUGGGAGCUGCUGAGGAAAGCCCUAAGAUUCAGUUGGAUAGCGGAAAGGAAGAAAAUUUCCAUGGUGACAAACAGAAGACUCUUUCAGAUGAAGAGUGGGAAUUUUUUGAAGACGAGGCUUAGGAUUUCGAUUUGUGCCUAGUUUCCAUUCUCUACUGAGAAGACUUCACGAGUGAGG